rnacentral:rRNA from 1 species
UACGGAGGGUGCGAGCGUUACCCGGAUUUACUGGGCGUAAAGGGCGUGUAGGCGGUUUUCUAAGUCCGGGGCUAAAGACCAGUGGUCAACCCUGGGAUUGCCUUGGAUACUGGAAAACUCGACGGCUGGAGGGGGCAGCGGAAUUUCCGGAGUAGCGGUGAAAUGUGCAGAUACCGGAAGGAACGCCAAUAGCGAAGGCAGCUGCCUGGACAGUAUGUGACGCUGAGGCGCGAAAGCGUGGGGAGCAUCCCGG